UUAGAAAUCGUGAGGGUUCAAGUCCCUCUAUCCCCAAAAAACCUAUAU
rnacentral:tRNA from 2 species